ACCUCAUGAUUUGGACAUUAUGUUAUUUUUCCAUUGAAUCUUUCCCAUACUUUAUACAAAGGCUCCCCAUUUAAUUACCUAAAGUUGAUGAUCUCAUCCCUCAAUU
rfam:Capsicum annuum cultivar Zunla-1 chromosome 3, whole genome shotgun sequence